UGUGUGUGUUCCUUUCUUUGUUUCUUCCCGCUAGUUGCGAUUCAUGCUGUCCUGCGUUCGCAAAGUCCGCAAUGUAUGCAUACGUCCGGUAUAUUUUCGACAAUGCGCGUCUUGUGGUGCCGAUAACCAAUGUCAAGGGGUUUACAAUGCCAAGCGACAUCACGGAUUUCAACGGAAACACCGAUUUUCCCGUGCAUAAAGUGUACUGGUCAGGUGAUGAAAAAACACGUGGUGGAUACUACGACGCUGAAGUUAUUUACUUGGCAGAAAAAGAAGACUACGCUCGGUCUCUCGGUGAACGGAAACGACUACGAUCAUGUGGACGGCGUGACCGCGGAAAGGACUGUCAGCAAGCUUCCCAGAAAAGGCCAGCAAAGGUUGAUGCAAGCCAAAGCAAAAGGGCACGCUUGCAGGUGCGCCGCCAGCAGGAGCUGGAUAUGUUGGAAGACCUUGACAGUGAAGACGAUGAAGUAGUUCCAAAAAGCUUGCUCAACGAAAGAGAUGAACAUGUUCGCUAUCUUGAAAAAGAGAUAAAUGCGCUAAGGAAGCAAAAUAUGUGCCUGCAGAAAGCUCUCUGCACAAAGCUCUCUGGAUGCUGGUGCUCAAAGCGAAAGCUCUCUGGAUGCUGAAAUCCGUCUGAUGUCAGAUACGUGCCACAACGCAGCUCUACGUGGAACCGUUCAGGAUAAGACUCAACAUGAGGACGUCACCCACACAACCAUGGAAGAACCAUGCACUGCAGCAUCUGAGGUUGAAGAAGAGUGCUUCCUAGAUAAUGUUGGACAAGCUGGCAGUUCAAACAUUGGGCCAACCUCUCCGUGUCUCCCUGAAGGAUGUGAUGCUGUUGACCUUGAAGGUGGAAUUAAGAUUCCGAAAGACAAGUGGGACAUCCUUAACAGGCAUGAAGAGGAGAUCAAGUUAAAGAACUCGCCGUCUCAAUUUGGGGAUCAGAGGUGCUGGCCGAACGAACGUUCAGCGGGACACUUUCUAACAGGGCCAAAGCAGAAGGAAAAACAGCAACAUUCCCUGCGCUAUCCCCUGUGAAAGUUCAGGCUAUGAGGAGUAUACUUAUUUUCUCAUGUUCCCACACACGUGCCUAUGUGAACUACCUCACAUCUAAGAAGAAUUUAACAGAUGCCAACGACAUCAAAAAGAAGACGUCCAUGAUGAGAGUAUAUGUAAGCCAAAAAGUGAUCUUCGCCGAAGACGCAAGACAUGAAUACAAAAAAAAUAUACUUUUUAUACACAU